rnacentral:tRNA from 1 species
UGCUUGGCCGGGAAUCGAACCCGGGGCGCCCGCGUGGCAGGCGAGCAUUCUACAACUGAAACACCGAUGC